GCAGAUGGGAGGCAGCAGUGAGGAAUAUUGGUCAAUGGACGAAAGUCUGAACCAGCCAUACCGCGUGAAGGAUGACGGCCUUAUGGGUUGUAAACUUCUUUUAUGUGGGAAUAAACCCAGGGACGUGUCCCUGGCUGAAUGUACCACAGGAAUAAGGAUCGGCUAACUCCGUGCCAGCAGCCGCGGUAAUACGGAGGAUCCAAGCGUUAUCCGGAUUUAUUGGGUUUAAAGGGUGCGUAGGCGGGCUAAUAAGUUAGUGGUGAAAGCCCGGGGCUUAACUCCGGAACUGCCAUUGAUACUGUUAGUCUUGAGUCAACUUGAAGUGGGCGGAAUAAGGCAUGUAGCGGUGAAAUGCAUAGAUAUGCCUUGGAACACCUAUUGCGUAGGCAGCUCACUAAAUUUGUACUGACGCUGAGGCACGAAGGCGUGGGGAGCGAACAGGAUUAGAUACCCUGGUAGUCCACGCCGUAAACGAUGAUCACUCGCUGUUGGCGAUAUACUGUCAGCGGCCAAGCGAAAGCAUUAAGUGAUCCACCUGGGGAGUACGCCGGCAACGGUGAAACUCAAAUGAAUUGACG
rnacentral:rRNA from 1 species